AAAUUGAAGAGUUUGAUCAUGGCUCAGAUUGAACGCUGGCGGCAGGCCUAACACAUGCAAGUCGAACGGUAGCACAGAGGAGCUUGCUCCUUGGGUGACGAGUGGCGGACGGGUGAGUAAUGUCUGGGAAACUGCCCGAUGGAGGGGGAUAACUACUGGAAACGGUAGCUAAUACCGCAUAACGUCGCAAGACCAAAGAGGGGGACCUUCGGGCCUCUUGCCAUCGGAUGUGCCCAGAUGGGAUUAGCUAGUAGGUGGGGUAACGGCUCACCUAGGCGACGAUCCCUAGCUGGUCUGAGAGGAUGACCAGCCACACUGGAACUGAGACACGGUCCAGACUCCUACGGGAGGCAGCAGUGGGGAAUAUUGCACAAUGGGCGCAAG
rnacentral:rRNA from 1 species